rnacentral:rRNA from 1 species
GGCGGCACGCNUAACACAUGCAAGUCGAACGAAGUAGCAAUACUUAGUGGCGAACGGGUGAGUAUAAUAUGGGUAUCUGCCUUUUGGUUUGGAAUAACACGGGGAAACUUGUGCUAAUACCAGAUAAGCCUUUACAGGGAAAGUUUUAACGCCGAAAGAUGAGCCCAUACUUGAUUAGCUAGUUGGUAAGGUAAUGGCUUACCAAGGCUACGAUCAAUAGCUGAUCUGAGAGGAUGAUCAGCCACAUUGGGACUGAGACACGGCCCAAACUCCUACGGGGGGCAGCAGUGGGGAAUAUUGCACAAUGGGGGAAACCCUGAUGCAGCGAUGCCGCGUGAGUGAAGAAGGCCUUUGGGUUGUAAAGCUCUUUCGUCGGGGAAGAAAAUGACUGUACCCGAAUAAGAAGGUCCGGCUAACUUCGUGCCAGCAGCCGCGGUAAUACGAAGGGACCUAGCGUAGUUCGGAAUUACUGGGCUUAAAGAGCUCGUAGGUGGUUAAGAAAGUUGGUGGUGAAAUCCCAAGGCUUAACCUUGGAACUGCCACCAAAACUUUUUGACUAGAGUAUGAUAGAGGUAAGUGGAAUUUCUAGUGUAGAGGUGAAAUUCGUAGAUAUUAGAAAGAACACCAAUUGCGAAGGCAACUUUCUGGAUCAUUACUGACGCUGAGGAGCGAAAGCAUGGGUAGCGAAGAGGAUUAGAUACCCUCGUAGUCCAUGCCGUAAACGAUGUGUGCUAGACGUUGGAAACUUAGUUUUCAGUGUCGCAGCAAAAGCGUUAAGCACACCGCCUGGGGAGUACNACCGCAAGGUUAAAAC